rnacentral:rRNA from 1 species
AGCAGCCGCGGUAAUUCCAGCUCCAAUAGCGUAUAUUAAAGUUGUUGCAGUUAAAAAGCUCGUAGUUGAAUUUCGGGAUUGACGUGAUGGUCAUGCCUUAAGGGGUAUGAACUGUUGCAGUUGAUUUCUCACCUUCUGGAGAAACUUGAUGUCCUUUAUUGGGUGUCUUGCGGAUCCAGGACCUUUACCUUGAAAAAUUAGAGUGCUUAAAGCAGGCAUUUUUGCUCGAAUACAUUAGCAUGGAAUAAUAGAAUAGGACGGCAUGGUUCUAUUUUGUUGGUUUCUAGGAUCACCGUAAUGAUUAAUAGGGAUAGUUGGGGGCAUUAGUAUUCAAUUGUCAGAGGUGAAAUUCUUGGAUUUAUUGAAGACUAACUACUGCGAAAGCAUUUGCCAAGGAUGUUUUCAUUAAUCAAGAACGAAAGUUAGGGGAUCGAAGACGAUCAGAUACCG